UUGCUCCCGGGCGCCCCGCAGGCCGGGCAACAUCUGCGUGGGAGGGUGAAAGACCCAAGCUAGCAGCGCGGAGAAGAAGAGGGGGGAGCCAGGCAUUCAUCCCGGUCAAUUUUGGUUUCAGAUCGUGGCGACUGGUGGACAGGGGUCUUGACAGAGGCUCGCCCUGGGGCUGGGGCAGCGGAGGCGUAGCUGGCAGCCGUGGGCAGGUGAAGACAGCGCUCUGCCGGCCAGGUGAGUCCCCUUCUCCUCGCUGGUCCUUGCUCUCCUGGUCUCCU
rnacentral:misc_RNA from 1 species